rnacentral:tRNA from 1 species
GCCCUGGAGCUCGCUGUCGACACCGAUAGAGCGUCGGACUACGGAUCCGAAGGUCAGGGGGUUCGACUCCUCCCGGGUGCACCA